rnacentral:rRNA from 1 species
GACGAACGCUGGCGGCGUGCUUAACACAUGCAAGUCGAGCGGUAAGGCCUUUCGGGGUACACGAGCGGCGAACGGGUGAGUAACACGUGGGCGACCUGCCCUCCACUCUGGGAUAAGCCCGGGAAACUGGGUCUAAUACCGGAUAUGACCUUCCUCUGCAUGGGGGUUGGUGGAAAGUUUUUCGGUGGGGGAUGGGUCCGCGGCCUAUCAGCUUGUUGGUGGUGUGAUGGCCCACCAAGGCGACGACGGGUAGCCGGCCUGAGAGCGCGACCGGCCACACUGUGACUGAGACACGGCACAGACUGCUACGGGAGGCAGCAGUGGGGAAUGUUGCGCAAUGGGCGGAAGCCUGACGCAGCGACGCCGCGUGGGGGAUGACGGCCUUCGGGUUGUAAACCUCUUUCGCCAGGGACGAAGCGUGAGUGACGGUACCUUGAUAGGAAGCACCGGCCAACUACGUGCCAGCCGCCGCGGUAACAC